rnacentral:tmRNA from 1 species
GGGGGUGAACAGGUUCGACGUUAACUUGUUCCGCUGGAUCAGCAGGUCAUGGUUGACCAGGCCAUGUAAAACAGGGUCAAAAAAACAAAAGCCAACUCCAACGAGCUGGCCUGGGCGCACGCCUAAGUGUGCCUCGCUUACAGUCUGCCCGCCUGAGCGGGCUGUACUGCGUUAAAUUCAGGCUGCUGUCGCCGGGGGCGCGCUUCGUCCCGCGGCGGCUUAAGACAACACGGAGCUGGCCCGUUCCUUGCAGCCCCGGGUUUAGGGCGGGCGAGACAAAACCGGGGAUAAGCCUGUAGCGGUUCCAGCGAGCGGUUGACGGACCCGGGUGCGAAUCCCGGCACCUCCACCA